rnacentral:rRNA from 1 species
CAGUAGCCGCGGUAAAACGGAGGAUCCGAGCGUUAUCCGGAAUUAUUGGGUUUAAAGGGUGCGUAGGCGGAUAGAUAAGUCAGUGGUGAAAGACGGUGGCUCAACCAUCGCAGUGCCGUUGAUACUGUUUAUCUUGAAUAUGGAUGAGGUAGGCGGAAUGUGGCAAGUAGCGGUGAAAUGCAUAGAUAUGCCACAGAACACCGAUUGCGAAGGCAGCUUACCAAGGCAAAAUUGACGCUGAGGCACGAAAGCGUGGGGAUCGAACAGGAUUAGAUACCCCCGUAGUCCCUGUCUCUUAUAA